rnacentral:rRNA from 1 species
CCUGAGAAACCCAAAAGUUCGAAUGGGGAGAUUCAUCGUCAGCUCAUUUUGUAUAUGUAUUGGUUAUGAUAUAAGUUACUACUUGUAGUAUCGCUUGUACGUGCUUUUACAUUUUUUGACAAAGUGUUGUCGGCGUGCACUUCUCCCCUAGUAGGACAUCGCGACUCGUUGAGUGUCGGUCUAUGACCCAAGUGUGAGACUUUAUUGUUUAAUAACUUUAAAGAACCUUGGUGUCUUCUAACCGGCUGCUCGGCGGUACUCGUACGGUAUUUAGCCGCAUUUUAUGUGCGUCCAUAACCGUCGCAAGUGAGACUAGUUACUGGCAGUACGGACCUGGUGCCGUCGCUGGUACUGGUCAGCUGUUGGUUGUACGGUAUUCUAGGACUGGCUAAAAUAAUAAUUACCGGUCGGCGAUGCUACUGCUUUGGGUACUUUCAGGACCCGUCUUGAAACACGGACCAAGGAGUCUAACAUGUACGCAAGUCAUUGGGAUUAUUUAAUAAAUUAAACCUAAAGGCAUAAUGAAAGUAAAGAUCGUCCUAGCGUCGGUCUAGGGAGGAUGAGUUGUAUUAAGAUGCAGCUUCGCACUCCCGGGGCGUCUCAUUCUCAUUGCGAGAAGAAGCGCACCAAG